CCUACGGGGGGCAGCAGUGGGGAAUAUUGGACAAUGGGGGGAACCCUGAUCCAGCCAUGCCGCGUGUGUGAAGAAGGCCCUCGGGUUGUAAAGCACUUUCAGUGAGGAAGAACGCCUGGUGGUUAAUACCCAUCAGGAAAGACAUCACUCACAGAAGAAGCACCGGCUAACUCCGUGCCAGCAGCCGCGGUAAUACGGAGGGUGCGAGCGUUAAUCGGAAUUACUGGGCGUAAAGCGCGCGUAGGUGGCUUGAUAAGCCGGUUGUGAAAGCCCCGGGCUCAACCUGGGAACGGCAUCCGGAACUGUCAAGCUAGAGUGUAGGAGAGGAAGGUAGAAUUCCCGGUGUAGCGGUGAAAUGCGUAGAGAUCGGGAGGAAUACCAGUGGCGAAGGCGGCCUUCUGGACUGACACUGACACUGAGGUGCGAAAGCGUGGGUAGCAAACAGGAUUAGAUACCCUUAUAGUC
rnacentral:rRNA from 1 species